rnacentral:lncRNA from 1 species
GAAACAAACUGCUGUCUGGAAAGCUUUUUGGACGCCAAACAAACUGAGAUGGUUGUGCUCUGAGGAACAUAAAGCAGUCUGAAGUAAACAGUCGCACACAGACGCAACAACUACAGUAUCUUCAGGAUGCAAAGCCAUACAGGCGCUGUCAGUUCCCUUCUACUGGGGGGCAAGAAAACCUCCCUUUGAGCUGUGGUGACAGGGUUACAUGGGAGGGUUUGGUUGCUCUUCAGUUCAGAAGCCAUCACUGCCAGCACCUGCAACUUGCUGCUCUGCACCUUCUGCUCUGACCACUGGUGAGAGAAGUCACUCCUUCCUUCUCUUGCUCUUAAGAUCCCUCUUAAGUCCUGCAGGGUAACACCUGCUUGGCUGCCACAGAGGUGUCUGGGUCUCCUGGUGCCUUUAUGGAUACUCACCACUCAUGCAGGGUCUUCAGGGAGAAGAUGAAGAAAUC